CAGCAGCCGCGGUAAUACGUAGGUGGCGAGCGUUGUCCGGAUUUAUUGGGUUUAAAGGGUGCGUAGGCGGCCAAGUAAGUCAGUGCUGAAAUAUCCCGGCUUAACCGGGAGGGUGGCAUUGAUACUGCGUGGCUAGAGUACAGAUGAGGUAGGCGGAAUUGACGGUGUAGCGGUGAAAUGCUUAGAUAUCGUCAAGAACACCUAUAGCGAAGGCAGCUUACUAGGCUGUAGCUGACGCUGAGGCACGAAAGUGUGGGGAUCAAACAGGAUUAGAUACCCUGGUAGUCCACACUGUAAACGUUGAUUACUCGCUGUGUGCGAUAUACAGUACGCGGCCAAGCGAAAGCGCUAAGUAAUCCACCUGGGGAGUACGCCGGCAACGGUGAAACUCAAAGGAAUUGACGG
rnacentral:rRNA from 1 species